rnacentral:lncRNA from 1 species
AUGGACGCGCACACCUGCACGCUCGUGCAAACGCUCCCGCAGCGCAGCCCGUGCCACGCACACACUCCUGGCAGCAGCGCUGGGUGCAGCCUCAGCCCUCGCUGCUCACCGACACACGCCGUGCCGGCACGCCCGCUGUGUGUGCACCGAUGCACGCACGCUCUGCCCGCACGGCCGUGCCCUCCGCCUCCCUCCACGAGCCGCCGCACCCGGUGCCCUGGCCAUGCCGUUGCCAUACCGUGGCCGUGCCCCCCUGGUGCCGCCCGCUGGUCACACCCCGAGGGCAGCUGCGGUGUCCAGAGCCCGGGGGGGGUUGCGGGGGUGGCCCUCGCUCAGCUGCAGCCCAGAUGUCUGGCGCGGGCCCAGGCUGCAGCAAACAAAAUUCCUGCGCUGCCUCCCAUUUUCCAGCCUCUGCUGCCAAGAAUAGCAAGUGCCGAGAGGUGCCGGCAGCGGCUGUGCCGGGGGGGCCGUGCAGGGACGCUGCCAGGGCCACCCCGCUCUCGUCCCGGCGGCAGCGGGUGGGUGCUGGCCGCGCUCCACGGGGACGAGGGCGCCGCGUCACGGGUCGCUGCGUCGCAAGACUUUGCCCGAGGAGCCGCGGGACGCUCAGCGCGGCUCAGCACGGCUCAACACGGCGUCCCCGUGUCCAGCCGCGGCGGUGGGACAUGUCCACCCCCUGGGCAUCCAUCCCUGUGCCGGUCCCCGGCCGGGGCGCGUCCCCCGCUUCCAGCGGCAGGACGUGGCGCGGUGGCAGCCCGCAGCCGGUGCCAGCGGCUCGUCAGGCCCCGCCGGCAGCGGCCCCACCUGCAGAAGCCAUCAGGCGUCCCAGGGCCGCGGCCGCGUCCCGGAAAAACAGCGCCAAAGCUGCCAGGGCCGGGCGAGCCCAAAGGGGGGAGGGGGUGCCACGUUGCCGCUGCCCCCUCCCCCCACCCCGUAACCGGGACGGUUGAGCCGGUGAUGGGGUCACGGGAUGGGAUGGUGUGUCCCUGGAUCUCUCCUCCCGUCCCCAGGAAUGCGGGAAUGCAUCGAUUUUCCGCCCCGCUGCUCCUCGGCACAGUUCUGUCUCCGAUCCCCGGGCAGACCCCGGCGAUGCUCUUUGUCUGA